rnacentral:miRNA from 1 species
AAACACCAGCUUACCCCGGAGU